rnacentral:rRNA from 1 species
GUCUUUUUGAUUAUAAUUUAAAGUCUAACCUGCCCAAUGAGGAGUUAAAUGGCCGCGGUAUUUUGACCGUGCAAAGGUAGCAUAAUCAUUAGUUUUUUAAUUGGAAGCUGGAAUGAAUGGUUGGACGAGAAAGCAACUGUCUCAUUUUAAUUGUGAUUAGAAUUUUAUCUGUGAGUUAAAAAGCUCACAUAAUUUUAAAAGACGAGAAGACCCUAUAGAAUUUUAUAGUUUUGAUGAUGUAUUUUUGUUAGAAUUUUAUAUUUUACAUUAUUAGAACUGUUUCGUUGGGGCGAUGGAAAAAUUUAAUGAACUUUUUUUUAUACUUUUCAUAAAUUUAUGUAUGAAUGAUCCGUUAUUUACGAUUAUAAGAUAAAAUUACCUUAGGGAUAACAGCGUAAUUUUUCUUUAGAGUUCUAAUCGAAAGAAGAGUUUGCGACCUCGAUGUUGGAUUAAA